GUGCUCACCUUGACAGCACAUACACUAGAAUGGAACCAUACAGGGAUGAUUGGCAUGGCCUCUGUACACGGAUGGCUCACAGAUACAGGAAGAGUUCCGUAUUAGA